AUGUAGUGUCUUCAAAGGUUAGGAGAUAUAUGCUGGGGAAUAUAGUCUCAAAAAAAUGCAGUGUCUUCAAAAGUCGGGAGAUAUGUGCUGGGGAAUACAGUCCCAAAAACAAAUGCAGUGUCUUCAAAGGUCAGGAGAUAUAUGCUGGGGAAUACAGUCUCAAAAACAAAGUACAGAGUCAUCAAAGGUUAGGAGAUAUAUGCUGGGAAAUACAGUCUCAAAAACAAAAUGGAGAUUCUUCAAAGGUUAGGAGAUAUAUGCUGGGGAAUACAGUCUCAAAAACAAAGUACAGAGUCAUCAAAGGUUAGGAGAUAUAUGCUGGGGAAUACACUCUCAAAAACAAAGUACAGAGUCAUCAAAGGUUAGGAGAUAUAUGCUGGGGAAUACAGUCUCAAAAACAAAGUACAUAGUCAUCAAAGGUUAGGAGAUAUAUGCUGGGGAAUACAGUCUCAAAAACAAAGUACAGAGUCAUCAAAGGUUAGGAGAUAUAUGCUGGGGAAUACACUCUCAAAAACAAAGUACAGAGUCAUCAAAGGUUAGGAGAUAUAUGCUGGGGAAUACAGUCUCAAAAACAAAGUGGAGAUUAUUCAAAGGUUAGGAGAUACACGUUGGGGAAUACAGUCUCAAAAAUGAAAUACAGAGUCUUCAAAGGUUAGGAGAUAUAUGCUGGGGAAUACAAUCUCAAAAACAAAAUACAGAGUCAUCAAAGAUUAGGAGAUAUAUGCUGUUGAAUUCCAUCUCAAAAACAAAAUGCAGGGUCUUCAAAGGUCAGGAGAUAUAUGCUGGGGAAUACAGUCUCAAAAACGAAAUACAGAGUUGUCAAAGGUCAGGAGAUAUAUGCUGGGAAAGACAGUCUCAAAAACGAAAUACAGAGUCUACAAAGGUUAGGAGAUAAAUCCUGGGGAAUACAGUCUCAAAAAUGAAAUACAGAGUCUUCAAAGGUUAGGAGAUAUAUGCUGGGGGAUACAGUCUCAAGAAGGAAAUACAGAGUCUUCAAAGGUUAGGUUUUACACUUUCAAAAUCGAUUAACAAGGUAUCAAGGGAGAUUACAAGUACGGUUACAUUGCAAAACACAAUCCUCUUGGGAUACAAACUAACAAUGACUUAAAUUGAUCAUCU
rnacentral:lncRNA from 1 species